rnacentral:snRNA from 1 species
GGAUGUGAGGGCUAUCUGGCUGCGACAUCUGUCACCCCAUUGAUCGCCAGGGUUGAUUCAGCUGAUCUGGCUGGCUAGGCGGGUGUCCUCUUCCUCUCUCACAGCCGCAUGUGCUUCCCCCUCGAAACUGUGCGCUCGAUCGACGAGAACGACCACUCCGGAUAGAGGAGGACCGUUCCUCAGUCAAGGGAAUACGAGUAGCUGCACUCCCCUGCUAGAACCUUCAAAUAAGCUCUCAAAACACUGAAAUUGAAUUUUAAGGUAGAAAUCAAGUGAGCACUAUGUAUCUGGUCUCUGUUUUAACAAAAUUGUUCAUGAUA